AUAAUAAUACAAAUAUAUAAUAACUUGAAAGUUCUCUGGAGUAGCAAAGAGAAAUUUGUCUCACUCUCUCAGUUGUUGGGAAUUCCACUGUUUGGCUC